CAAUAGCGUAUAUUAAAGUUGUUGCGGUUAAAAAGCUCGUAGUUGGAUUUCUGCCGAGGACGACCGGUCCGCCCUCUGGGUGAGCAUCUGGCUCGGCCUGGGCAUCUUCUUGGAGAACGUAUCUGCACUUGACUGUGUGGUGCGGUAUUCAGGACUUUUACUUUGAGGAAAUUAGAGUGUUUCAAGCAGGCAUACGCCUUGAAUACAUUAGCAUGGAAUAAUGGAAAAGGACUUCAACCUCUUCUGUUGGUCUGAGAGGCUGUAGUAAUGAUUAAUAGGGAUAGUUGGGGGCAUUAGUACUUAACUGUCAGAGGUGAAAUUCUCCGAUUUGUUAAAGACUAACUUAUGCGAAAGCAUUUGCCAAGGAUGUUUUCAUUGAUCAAGAACGAAAGUUAGGGGAUCGAAGAUGAUUAGAUACCGU
rnacentral:rRNA from 1 species